rnacentral:lncRNA from 1 species
CACGAACCUACUCUAAACUGCCUUGCUGACAGGAAAAAAAAAAAAGAGUUGUGCUGUUUCCUCCGUUUGGCCAUAAGAUGUGCAGUUUCAUUCCAGCUGUAAAUGUUGUAACCAGUCCUUUGUAUGUAAUAUGUCCAGAACUCCUAACCACAGGAUGAAUGCAUGCCUUGGGGUGAUAGAACCAUUCCAAAUUGUAGGUACCCAAGUUGCCUUAGUAUGUUUCGGCCUGAAAAAUUCAUAAGCAGCCAUAGUGUUGAAUCUGCUAGCCUCCAUCCACUCGUGUAAUCCGUUUAUGAUAGGGCUGGAUAUGGUCCAAUCCGGUUCGGUUUUAACAAGAACCAAAUCGGACCCAAAAUUUUCAGAUAUUUAGUGAGUGGAACCGUUCGGAUUCAGUUUGGCUCGGUUCUUGGUUCCUUACUAUAAUUAAAUUUUUUGAUAUUUACAAAAUUAUAUUAAUUCAAUUAAUAACAUGUUCAAUUUUAGCUCUUACAAAAUAAUGUAAUUCAAUCUUAUGUGUCUUUUGUGCCCUUCUUUGUUAAGUUCUUCAUAGAUUUGAUUGUUAAGAUCAUAGGAGGAAGAAGAUAGCAGACUCACAAUAAUGAAGAGAGGUGCUGUCGAGCUCCAAUUCAAUUUCUUUGGAAUGGUAGAAACGACAUUACGGUAGAAUAAUGGAUUUGAGUAAAACUUAUGUCAAUUUGAUUAAGUUGGGCUUGAAUUGAAAAUUAGAAAUAGAAAAAAUCAUAUUUUUGGGUUUGAGCUAAAUUAACUGGUUAGCAAAUUUAUUUAGAACAAAAUAAAAUAAUUAGGCUCACUUAAAAUAAAUAAAUUAAAAUAUUAGGAAGAUUCGGUUCUUGAUCUAGAAUCGAGAACCAAACCUAACCCGUUGGUUCUGGAUUCUGAUACCCAUUUAGGUAUUUAAUUUAAGAAAAGCCCUUUGGGUCCAGUUCAUUUCGGGUCCAAUUCAGUUGGUUCGGUUCGGGACUUUUCUCCAAACCUAGUUCACACCAACUUGUAUUGUACGCUCCAACCCAAUAAUGCUGUCCCAAAUAUUCAAUACUUUUUUAAGCAACGGAGAGUCAUCUUUUUUCGGCGUAUAUUCCCAAAUGUCCAUACCUUGAAGGUGUACCUGAUUUACCCAUUUAAUUCAAAGAGUAUCCUUCUUGCUAUGGAUGUUCCGAAGUGUUUUGGAGAGUGGUGCAACAUUCCAACUUUUAAUAUUUCUAAAACCAAGCUCCCCCUCAUGCUUUGGUAAGAAAAUUUGAUUCCAAGCAGGCAACAUUUUUUUGAUCCCCAUAGGAAGUUCCAGCAUAAACUAAUGAGUUUAGAAGCCACCGUUGCCGAAAUGGGGAAAAUGGAUAACCAAAAAAAUUCCACUCCUUGUAAGAUGGUUCUCACAGGGCAUCUUGUAAAACCAGAUAUAAAGUGUAACUCAAGUAACUUAUUUGAUCACCCAUAUUUGUUAAAUGUAGGCUACUUAAGUUUCCGUGUUCUGCUGCAGGGCCAAGUGAAACACAGAGUAUCCUCACGUGGCAAAUAUGUAUCGGUGAACAUUGGACCUGUUCAAGUAGUUUGUAGUGAGCAGGUGCUCUCUCUCUCUCUCUCUCUCUCUCUCUAUGUGCAAUUGUGUAGCUAUGCAUGUGUACGUGCAACAGAAAAAAUAGUGACAUCAACAUGCGUAGUGCAAUGAAUUUCAUGUCCAUCAACAAAAAAAUGUCGAAAGUCGUUUAUACACACCAUUACAUAUGAAUAAUGUAAUUGAAUCUAUGUUCUCCAGGUUCAAGCAGUAUACAAUGCUAUGAGAAGAGAUGACAGGAUGAAAUACUUUUUGUAGAUGUUUUAUUGAAUUCUCUAUGGCAGGCUUAUCAACUCGGGCACCAUGCUUGCCUCUUCUUCUCUUAUUUAUUUCACAAUUUUUGGAGUGAUAUUUGUAUUAAAUGUUAGAUACUUUAGCGCAAUGAUGUUGUAGGCUUAGUAGAGUUGAAUUGAGCUAAAGAUCCUUGUACAUUAACCUUUUUUAGGAAUCUUAUACUAAGCAAAUUUGUCAUUUUCCAAUUCACUACGAAUGUAUCUUAGAAUUAGGGUUAGAGAUGAUAUGACUAGGCCGACAACUUGGUAUUUUUUCAUUUAUAAGUUUAGAACACAUUUCACCUUAAGCCAAUGCCUGUAUGAAACCUUGGAUGAUAAUAUUUGAUUAUGAAACAUGUA